UAAAAAAAGGUAAGCUACUAAGAGCGAAUGGUGGAUGCCUUGACUGGUAAAGGCGAUGAAGGACGUACUAGACUGCGAUAAGCUACGGGGAGCUGUCAAGAAGCUUUGAUCCGUAGAUUUCCGAAUGGGGCAACCCAAUGUAUAGAGAUAUACAUUACCUAUAUAGGAGCGAACGAGGGGAAUUGAAACAUCUUAGUACCCUCAGGAAAAGAAAUCAAUAGAGAUUGCGUCAGUAGCGGCGAGCGAAAGCGCAAGAGGGCAAACCCAGUGCUUGCACUGGGGGUUGUAGGACUGCAAUGUGCAAGAGCUGAGUUUAGCAGAACAUUCUGGAAAGUAUAGCCAUAGAGGGUGAUAGUCCCGUAUGCGAAAAACAAAGCUUAGCUAGCAGUAUCCUGAGUAGGGCGGGACACGAGGAAUCCUGUCUGAAUCCGGGUCGACCACGAUCCAACCCUAAAUACUAAUACCAGAUCGAUAGUGCACAAGUACCGUGAGGGAAAGGUGAAAAGAACUGAGGUGAUCAGAGUGAAAUAGAACCUGAAACCAUUUGCUUACAAUCAUUCAGAGCACUAUGUAGCAAUACAGUGUGAUGGACUGCCUUUUGCAUAAUGAGCCUGCGAGUUGUGGUGUCUGGCAAGGUUAAGCAAACGCGAAGCCGUAGCGAAAGCGAGUCUGAAUAGGGCGCUUAGUCAGAUGCUGCAGACCCGAAACGAAGUGAUCUAUCCAUGAGCAAGUUGAAGCUAGUGUAAGAACUAGUGGAGGACUGAACCCAUAGGCGUUGAAAAGCCCCGGGAUGACUUGUGGAUAGGGGUGAAAGGCCAAUCAAACUUCGUGAUAGCUGGUUCUCUCCGAAAUAUAUUUAGGUAUAGCGUUGUGUCGUAAUAUAAGGGGGUAGAGCACUGAAUGGGCUAGGGCAUACACCAAUGUACCAAACCCUAUCAAACUCCGAAUACCUUAUAUGUAAUCACAGCAGUCAGGCGGCGAGUGAUAAAAUCCGUCGUCAAGAGGGAAACAACCCAGACUACCAGCUAAGGUCCCUAAAUCUUACUUAAGUGGAAAACGAUGUGAAGUUACUUAAACAACCAGGAGGUUGGCUUAGAAGCAGCCAUCCUUUAAAGAAAGCGUAAUAGCUCACUGGUCUAGUGAUUUUGCGCGGAAAAUAUAACGGGGCUAAAGUAAGUACCGAAGCUGUAGACUUGCACACAACUUAGAUUAUUUAAGUUUAGAAUAUGAGAAACUAAGUUAUAUGUUUAGUUAUAUUUUUACUGAUUUUUAUAGAGUAAAGAUAGAAAUAAAACUUAGUAAAAUCAGUAAAAAUAUUCUUAGGCUAAAGUUAAGUAGUUUAAGUUGUGUGCAAGUGGUAGGAGAGCGUUCUAUUUGCGUCGAAGGUAUACCGGUAAGGAGUGCUGGAGCGAAUAGAAGUGAGCAUGCAGGCAUGAGUAGCGAUAAUUAAUGUGAGAAUCAUUAACGCCGUAAACCCAAGGUUUCCUACGCGAUGCUCGUCAUCGUAGGGUUAGUCGGGUCCUAAGUCGAGUCCGAAAGGGGUAGACGAUGGCAAAUUGGUUAAUAUUCCAAUACCAACAUUAGUGUGCGAUGGAAGGACGCUUAGGGCUAAGGGGGCUAGCGGAUGGAAGUGCUAGUCUAAGGUUGUAGGAGGUUAUACAGGCAAAUCCGUAUAACAAUACUCCGAGAACUGAAAGGCUUUUUGAAGUCUUCGGAUGGAUAGAAGAACCCCUGAUGCCGUCGAGCCAAGAAAAGUUUCUAAGUUUAGCUAAUGUUGCCCGUACCGUAAACCGACACAGGUGGGUGGGAUGAGUAUUCUAAGGCGCGUGGAAGAACUCUCUUUAAGGAACUCUGCAAAAUAGCACCGUAUCUUCGGUAUAAGGUGUGGUUAGCUUCGUACUAGGAUUUACUCCGAAAGCGAAGAAACUUACAACAAAGAGUCCCUCCCGACUGUUUACCAAAAACACAGCACUCUGCUAACUCGUAAGAGGAUGUAUAGGGUGUGACGCCUGCCCGGUGCUCGAAGGUUAAUUGAUGGGGUUAGCAUUAGCGAAGCUCUUGAUCGAAGCCCGAGUAAACGGCGGCCGUAACUAUAACGGUCCUAAGGUAGCGAAAUUCCUUGUCGGUUAAAUACCGACCUGCAUGAAUGGCGUAACGAGAUGGGAGCUGUCUCAAAGAGGGAUCCAGUGAAAUUGUAGUGGAGGUGAAAAUUCCUCCUACCCGCGGCAAGACGGAAAGACCCCGUGGACCUUUACUACAGCUUGACACUGCUACUUGGAUAAGAAUGUGCAGGAUAGGUGGGAGGCUUUGAGUAUAUGACGCCAGUUGUAUAUGAGCCAUUGUUGAGAUACCACUCUUUCUUAUUUGGGUAGCUAACCAGCUUGAGUUAUCCUCAAGUGGGACAAUGUCUGGUGGGUAGUUUGACUGGGGCGGUCGCCUCCCAAAUAAUAACGGAGGCUUACAAAGGUUGGCUCAGAACGGUUGGAAAUCGUUCGUAGAGUAUAAAGGUAUAAGCCAGCUUAACUGCAAGACAUACAAGUCAAGCAGAGACGAAAGUCGGUCUUAGUGAUCCGGUGGUUCUGUGUGGAAGGGCCAUCGCUCAAAGGAUAAAAGGUACCCCGGGGAUAACAGGCUGAUCUCCCCCAAGAGCUCACAUCGACGGGGAGGUUUGGCACCUCGAUGUCGGCUCAUCGCAUCCUGGGGCUGGAGCAGGUCCCAAGGGUAUGGCUGUUCGCCAUUUAAAGCGGUACGCGAGCUGGGUUCAGAACGUCGUGAGACAGUUCGGUCCCUAUCUGCCGUGGGCGUAAGAAGAUUGAAGAGAUUUGACCCUAGUACGAGAGGACCGGGUUGAACAAACCACUGGUGUAGCUGUUGUUCUGCCAAGAGCAUCGCAGCGUAGCUAAGUUUGGAAAGGAUAAACGCUGAAAGCAUCUAAGCGUGAAGCCAACUCUAAGAUGAAUCUUCUCUAAGCUCUCUAGAAGACUACUAGUUUGAUAGGCUGGGUGUGUAAUGGAUGAAAGUCCUUUAGCUGACCAGUACUAAUAGAGCGUUUGGCUUAUCUUUAUAAAGCAU
rnacentral:rRNA from 1 species